ensembl:lncRNA
CAGGAGAGGAAGAGGAGAGUAGAAGACAGCAGGAGAGGAAGAGGAGAGUAGAAGACAGCAGGAGAGGAAGAGGAGAGUAGAGGACAGCAGGAGAAGAAGAGGUGAGUAGAGGACAGCAGGAGAAGAAGAGAGAAUACAGUAAAAGAGAGGAAAAAGUUCAGUCUUUCUUAUAUUAGAAAAUUGACCUUCUUCUGAUGGAUUCAGAUGAUUCCAAUAUGUCCUAUUUGUUUGUGAUUGGGGCCUGUAGAUACUACAUG